rnacentral:rRNA from 1 species
AACGUAGGAGACAAACGUUAUCCGGAGUUACUGGGCGUAAAGGGCGUGUAGGCGGUUUUGUAAGUCUGGCGUGAAAUUUUUCGGCUUAACCGGGAAAGGUCGUCGGAUACUGCAAGGCUAGAGGACGGUAGAGGCGUGUGGAAUUCCUGGUGUAGCGGUGAAAUGCGUAGAUAUCAGGAGGAACACCGGUGGUGUAGACGGCUUUCUGGACCGUAACUGACGCUGAGACACGAAAGCGUGGGUAGCAAACAGG